UCGAUGCUGCAGUUGUGUGUCUAGUUCUUUGACCUGAGAUGCAUCGACAGUUCACCUUGAGUGUGUUAUAGUUUGACUACACCAUAACUCGAUCUCCUAGCCAUUCGAAACUCUGAGGUGUAUGUUGGCAGUAGCAUAUUCAUUGUAGGAACUAGGUCGCACCAAGAUGGGAUCUAUCAACCUCGGUAGAUGAGAGGAGUAGUCCUAUGAUGAUCGAAAGAUCGAGUCCUUAAGCCUAUGGCCAUGGCAGAGUGAAAUAAUAGAAAAGAGUUUUCCAUUGGAGUUUCACAUCGGACUC
rnacentral:lncRNA from 1 species